AUUGAACGCUGGCGACAGGCCUAACACAUGCAAGUCGAGCGCGAAAGUCUUCGGAUGAGUAAAGCGGCGAACGGGUGAGUAAUGCAUGGGAAUCUGCCUGGUAGUGGGGGACAACGUCUCGAAAGGGACGCUAAUACCGCAUACGCCUACGGGGAAAGGGGGGGAUCUUCGGACCUCUCGCUAUCAGAUGAGCCCAUGUCAGAUUAGCUAGUUGGUGAGGUAAAGGCUCACCAAGGCGACGAUCUGUAACUGGUCUGAGAGGAUGAUCAGUCACACUGGAACUGAGACACGGUCCAGACUCCUACGGGAGGCAGCAGUGGGGAAUAUUGGACAAUGGGGGCAACCCUGAUCCAGCCAUGCCGCGUGUGUGAAGAA
rnacentral:rRNA from 1 species